GGAGAGGUGGGUGAGUGGCUGAAACCGCACCCCUGCUAAGGGUGUAUACCGCAAGGUAUCGAGGGUUCGAAUCCCUCCCUCUUCGCCA
rnacentral:tRNA from 14 species